rnacentral:rRNA from 1 species
UACAGAGGGGGCAAGCGUUAUUCGGAAUUAUUGGGCGUAAAGGGCGCGUAGGCGGCCAUUCAAGUGACGGGUGAAAGCCCUCGGCUUAACCGAGGAACUGCCUGUCAGACUGGAUGGCUUGAGACCGGGAGAGGUGAGUGGAGUUCCCAGUGUAGCGGUGAAAUGCGUAGAUAUUGGGAGGAACACCAGUGGCGAAGGCGGCUCACUGGACCGGAACUGACGCUGAGGCGCGAAAGCUAGGGGGGCAGACAGG